GAGGUAUGUUGACAAGCCAAGUGCUUUGUUCCUGGAAGACCUUCCCUUCUGAUGGUUUUAUUCCCCUAACUGGUAUUUUUCCCUCUCAUUUUUCAUUUUCUCUUUGUCUCUGGGAGUGAGGAACCGUGGCUGUUAUGGGAGGGCCUCCCUUUUUCUGGUUCGAGUUCAGUAAAUCUCCAGCCUCUGAAAGGAGUGACAGCCUCCAGCCUUGGGCUUCUGCAGGAGAAACAGGCUUUUCACUCCUUAAUGCAUAGCCAGCUCUUCUGCUGUAAUAAUCAUCCCCCUUUCUUCUGGAGAUUUGCAGCUUAAAAGGUGUCAUUUAAAGAAAAUUAAUGCAAACUAGGAGUCUGCAUGGGAAGAGCCCUAAUGCCCUCUGCUUGCUUCUGCCUCCUCCCUGUGGCCCUCUGGGGCUGCCUUGCUUUUUCCUGCGAAGCUUGCCCCACCCUCCUGCAAUUGACAUCCACAGAGACCCAACCUGCCCAUAUUUUAUCUUCUCACUUUGCAUUUGGUGGUUCACUGGAUACCCGGUGAAUUAAACAUGUUUUCCCAGCGACAGAGAAUCAGGGUCCAGAUGGACACGGGGCCUGGCCUCAGUGCCCAGCACAGAAGGCACAUAUUGGAGAGUGGGGGCCUGCCCUUCCUUCCUUUCCUGAUCACGCACAGGCAGAGGGUGAGCUUGGAGAGAAUAAUCGCUGUUACCAAUGCGUUUUUUCCACAAAGAAAAUAAGAAAGCCCCAGCUUUGAAGUGGAAAUUUUCUAGGCUGGGAAGCAGCAGGAAGGUAAAAUACGGUGCUAGGACCUUUUGUAUGCAGUUGCAGAAUCAGAAAACAUGCACUUUUCCCAUUAAGCAUGCUCAAAUAUCUUUCUAGUACUCUUGUAAGCAAAAGUGAAUUCGUCGUUUAUAAGCUUUAAGAGGAAAAGCCACCGAAUAUUAAGAAGGGCAGCUUAAGUUUCUUUUCAGGUUGAAACAGCUAGAGAAGGUGGGCUGAUAGAAGAACACGUCAGGUUUAUCUUCUGCAUUGUGGAAGGAAUGGGCAGGGCCAUAGGGACCAUAAGGACUGUUCAAAGCCAGAAUGAAAGGAGCUCCAUAAGGUCACCCUGUACCUUUCUCUUUGGUCCCAGUUUCUGCAGCUGGUGCCAACCAUCCCUGGCACAGGCAAACAAGGCUUGAAGAUGAGGUAGGGGUUGGGGGAAAGCAAGGAACUGGAAUCUUCUUUUUGACUCCUUGGCCAGCUUUCUUCCAUGUAGCCAGUCUGGGAGAGUUGUAGCCUUUCUGGAAUUUCUGGAAUCCCCAGGGAGCUGUAGAAAGAGCCCUCUGAGUGGCUCACCAGGUCAGGCAUAUGGUGUAUAGAGGCCAGGGAAAGAAGCUCUGAGAUGCCAGGCAGAGCGCCCAGACCUCAAAUGGUCCUCUGUGUCCUUCCUGCAGAAGUCAGCUCAGAGAUGCUGAGUCUGGGAUUGCUUUGCCUUUGCUGGAUGCUGAUCUUCUUCUCCAACCAGUUCUCUUCCAUCCUGGCAUGCUCUCUCCCAUAACCUGGUCUGUUGGAUGCGAGUGGUCCACUUAGUGAAGGGAGGCAAUCACAGGAGCUAGCGCAAAGUCGAGGACCAGCACAGGCGCUGGGACCACACCUGGCACAUCUUAAGCAUCCAGUAACAGUUGAUGGUGUGGUGGAGAUGAUGGUGGUGAUGAUGGUGGUGCUGAUGGUGAUGAUGGUGAUGGUGGUGAUGACAUCAUUUCUGCUCCCACUGGCAUGCCACUGCUCACCUUUCUUCUUGCCAAUUGACUUAGUGGUUUCCUCCAGUCAGAGCCUGUGCCGGCUGGUCUCCACUGCAGGUCUCCAUGGGGUCCACCUCCUCCAUCCCACAUCCUCUGUCCUCAAGUGUCUUGGGUGCUUUGCUCAUUGGGAGUAAGUAGUGCCCUGGGGUGUCAGGCUCAGAGGGCAGCCCCACUCGGCAGACGUGCUAGAAAGCACCAUGAGUUUGGCAUUGACAGAGGUGGAAAUCUGAUUACAGAGCCAUGUCCUGAAGGCUCCAGAGAGCCCCUCCUGUCCUGAUUCAAAGGCGUAGGGGCCAGUGAAGGAUCAGCCCCGGCAGAAAGUUCCCUCUGGGUGAAUGUUGCUCUCCAAACGUGGUACCUGUCCCAUCACCAAAGGACUGUGGGGGCACAAGGCCACCCAGGGUGGCUGGAGGAGGACUCCAGUCCUUUGGUGAGAUGACUGUGCCUCGGAGGGUUUUUCCAGAAAGGGUAAGGGCAGAGGAACUCGGUGACUCUCACAGCCAGGUGUAAGUUGGGAGACCCAGGGCACACCCAGCCCCCCUAUCGUGUUUAUUGCUAAAGAAAAAUUUGCUUCUUGGUCAGUUCAGUUCAUCAUCCUUAGCAAUCUAGAAGAUUCCAACCUCUCUUUGGCCCGGGGAGUAGUGGGGGGACUGCAGUGUCUUGAAGGGAAGGUGCUCUAUCCUAGCCACUCCCUAACCCCGUGGGACUCAGGCCAGGGACAAAGGGAGGAGGGCUGGAGCAGCAGCAGCCCUGCAGGGAGGGUGGCCACCCUGGAAGAGCAGGCCAGCAAAGCAGCAUGUCCCUAAUGGUCCUCAGGCAUAAGGGUGCCAGUCUUUGGGCACUUUCAGUUUCCUUUGCCUGAAAGUGCCUCUAGUCUCAUUGAGCACAACUCACCCGGAACCCACAGGGGUGUGUCAGGAGUGGGUGGCCUCCCCUGACCACCUGCUCUGAAGUUUCCAGCCCCCCUCCUCCUGCUGCACUGAAUGGAUAAUGGAUGAAUGGUCGGCUGGGAAAGCCUGGGGUUGGCUCGGGCCCCAGUCCUGGAGUGUGUCUGCCCAUCCUCCCUGGGGAAACCUCUUCCUGCUCGGGCAGCUGGGUCUUGUGCUGUGAAGAAGGGAGGGGUUUUAGAGCAACUUCCCUUCUCUUCUCAUGGUGGCCAGACUGCAUUUGGGCAAUGGGCUGGCCCGAGGCUGUGACACUCCUAUAUUUCUGCUCUGAAACACCCCUCAGGGAUUUGUGGCUUGAGGCUCUGCUGAUUAACCCUGAGAAGGCAAAUCGAUGUUAUCACCUGUGCCAGCUGGUAUGGACUGGGGUGGCAGCAGGAUGGGCUGUGGUGGGUGGGGAGGGUUGUGACUUGGCUGGUCAGCUGCCUGGGGCACUGGCUGUGUCUGUCCUGGCCAAGGAAAGAGGUGGGGCUGCCUGCAGGCAAUACAUCUGUCAUCCUGGUUUAUCGGCUUCAUGCCCAACUCCUCUAAGUUACACUUUUACCAUCAAACUCUCAAUAGUCCAGGUUUCAUCCUAUUCAUGGGCUUCAGAAUCAGCCCCCUUCUCAGGUGGGAAAAAUGGCUUCAUCACGCAGCAGGUGUGCUGAUGGCGGGGAUCGGGGAGAAGCCAGGCUUGUGAGACGGGCAGCCCUGUCUCGGCAGGUCCCUCCCUCCCACUGACCCAUCCUCUAACCAUCAGCCCCCACUUAAUGGCACCGUUCCGGCUUCUCUCUGGAGUUGGUGGUGGGCCAGCCCGAAUGCUCUGACUCCCAGGAGACUUCAGAUGAGUGACGCCGGCGGAGUCUGCCUCGAGCAGGUGAUAUGGGGCUUUGGCACAAUCUGUAGUUUGGAAGCGACUCUGUGUUUUCCAGGCGCCCAUCUGUGGAGGAGAACAGGGUCUGUGUGGGGUCUGCUUGCUUGUUGAGGAAACAACGGCUGCUCAGGACUGGAAGCGUCCGCCCCCUCUUGUGUGCCAUUUCAUUUUCAAGCUGGAAGUCCCAGGUCUUCUCAGGAGGUGGCUCUGGCCUUUGUGAGCUCUGUCUCCAGGCCUGCGAGCACAGUGUUGAUUCUCUUCUUCGUGGGGAUUAAACCUCUGCUGCACUUGGGUGGGAGCUUCGGCCUAACAGUGCACCGAAUUCUGAUCUGAACCCGUCCCCCAAGACAGUGGGUGGGGUGGUGGGGACCAUGUAGGGUAGCAGUUUCCUGAAUUCCCAGCAUGUUGGUCAGUGGAGUGGAGCGUGAGAAGGGGCCGUGGGGUCUUCACAUCACUUGGGGUGUAUACAGACACUUGCCAGGGGUUAGGAAUAGGAAAGAUCCCUCGGAUCCCUGUUGCAUUCAUUUCAGCAUCAGCAUCAUCAUCAUCAUCAUUUUUUUUUAUUUUUUAUUUUGUGGCAUGCAGAACUUCCCCAGCCAGGGGUCAAACCCUCGCCACAGUGUUGUCCUGAGCCACAGCAGUGACAACACCAGAUCCUUUAACUGAUAGGCAUUCAGGAAACUCUUCCUCCUCAUCUUUAUCAUCAUCCUCAGCCACAGGGCUUAUGGAACAUCCUUUUUAUUAUCAUUGAAGUAUAGUUGAUUUACAAUGUUGUGUUGGUUUCAGGUGUACAGCAAGGUGACUCAUUUACACACACACACACACACACACACACACGCACACACACACACACGCAUUCUUUUUUCAGAUUCUUUGUAUGCAACGUUUCUGCUGGGUGUGGUAGGCAGAGGUCGAGACUGCUCCUAAAGAGGCUGGCCUGGGAUGUUCAUCUUGGCCGUGUAUCUGAGAUUCCACACCAGGCAACUUGUUGACCAGCCCCCACCACCCAAGCAUUUCACUCUUGCCUGCCUCAGUGCCUUUGCCUGUGCUCUUCCCCUUGCCUCGAAUGCCAUUCCACAUGUCUUUGACCAGCUCACUCCUACGCAUGUGCUAAACCCCAACUUAAGCACCUUUUUUUGUCAGGCAGACUAGAGAUCUUUCCAGGGAUAGUGUUUAUUACAUUCUAAAGUUGAUCUCUUCUUUAUUUUUCAACCACCCAAAGCACACACUAGAUUUAGAGCUUUUUGUUUUUUUGUCUUUUCUAGGGCCGCAUCCACAGCAUAUGGAGGUUCCCAGGUUAGGGGUCUAAUUGGAGCUGUAGCCGCUGGCCUACACCACAGCAGCAACAUGGGAUCCAAGCUGCAUCUGGGA
ensembl:lncRNA